GGACUGGAAUUGCUGGCAAUAGAUGAUGCCGUGACCGAGGUAAGCCAGGCGACAGAAGUAUAAGCAGAGCACCAGUGUCAGGUGCCGUCAGUGGCAGCAAGGGGAAUAUUGUGGGCUACGACGUUUAUAU
rnacentral:misc_RNA from 1 species